UACGUAGGGUGCGAGCGUUAAUCGGAAUUACUGGGCGUAAAGCGUGCGCAGGCGGGCUUUUAAGCCAGACGUGAAAUCCCCGGGCUUAACCUGGGAAUGGCGUUUGGGACUGGAAGUCUGGAGUGCGGCAGAGGAGACUGGAAUUCCUGGUGUAGCAGUGAAAUGCGUAGAUAUCAGGAGGAACACCGAUGGCGAAGGCAGGUCUCUGGACAGCUUCUGACGCUGAGGCACGAAGGCCAGGGGAGCAAACGGG
rnacentral:rRNA from 1 species